UGCCAGACUCCUACGGGAGGCAGCAGUGGGGAAUAUUGCACAAUGGGGGAAACCCUGAUGCAGCAACGCCGCGUGAGUGAAGAAGUAUUUCGGUAUGUAAAGCUCUAUCAGCAGGGAAGAAAAUGACGGUACCUGAGUAAGAAGCCCCGGCUAACUACGUGCCAGCAGCCGCGGUAAUACGUAGGGGGCAAGCGUUAUCCGGAUUUACUGGGUGUAAAGGGAGCGUAGACGGCGAUACAAGUCUGAAGUGAAAGCCCGGGGCUCAACCCCGGGACUGCUUUGGAAACUGUGUUGCUGGAGUGCAGGAGGGGUAAGCGGAAUUCCUAGUGUAGCGGUGAAAUGCGUAGAUAUUAGGAGGAACACCGGUGGCGAAGGCGGCUUACUGGACUGUAACUGACGUUGAGGCUCGAAGGCGUGGGGAGCAAACAGGAUUAGAUACCCGAGUAGA
rnacentral:rRNA from 1 species